GACGAACUGUCCUAACGUUGUUCGGAAUCACUGGGCUUAAAGGGUGCGUAGGCGGCUAUUUAAGUCAGUGGUGAAAUCCUGCAGCUCAACUGUAGAAUUGCCAUUGAUACUGGAUAGCUUGAGUACAGACGAGGUAGGCGGAAUUUAUGGUGUAGCGGUGAAAUGCAUAGAUACCAUAAAGAACCCCUAUUGCGAAGGCAGCUUACUAGGCUGUAACUGACGCUGAGGCACGAAAGCGUGGGGAGCAAACAGG
rnacentral:rRNA from 1 species